GACGAACGCUGGCGGCGUGCUUAAUACAUGCAAGUCGAACGCAGUGGCGAACGGGUGAGUAACGCGUAAACCACCUGCUCUUCAGCGGGGGACAACAGUUGGAAACGACGGCUAAUAUCGCAUUCGAUAGAAGGGGCUUGCGUUGGUUUAGAUAGUUGGAGGGGUAAGGGCCCACCAAGGCGAUGAUCAGUAGCCGGUCUGAGAGGAUGACCGGCCACAUUGGGACUGAGACACGGCCCAGACUCCUACGGGAGGCAGCAGUGGGGAAUAUUGGACAAUGGGCGAAAGCCUGAUCCAGCCAUGCCGCGUGUAUGAAGAAGGCCUUCGGGUUGUAAAGUUCUUUCAGUAGGGAGCGUUACCGACAGAAGAAGCACCGGCUAACUCCGUGCCAGCAGCCGCGGUAAUAC
rnacentral:rRNA from 1 species